UACGGGGGGGGGCAAGCGUUGUUCGGAAUUACUGGGCGUAAAGGGCUCGUAGGCGGCCAACUAAGUCGGACGUGAAAUCCCUCGGCUUAACCGGGGAACUGCGUCCGAUACUGGAUGGCUUGAGUUUGGGAGAGGGAUGCGGAAUUCCAGGUGUAGCGGUGAAAUGCGUAGAUAUCUGGAGGAACACCGGUGGCGAAGGCGGCAUCCUGGACCAACACUGACGCUGAUGAGCGAAAAGCCAGGGGAGCGAACAGG
rnacentral:rRNA from 1 species